GAUGAAGAACGUAGCGAAAUGCGAUAAGUAGUGUGAAUUGCAGAAUUCAGUGAAUCAUCGAAUCUUUGAACGCACAUUGCGCCCCUUGGUAUUCCAUGGGGCAUGCCUGUUCGAGCGUCAUUUGUACCUUCAAGCUUUGCUUGGUGUUGGGUGUUUGUCUCGCCUUUGCGUGUAGACUCGCCUUAAAAUAAUUGGCAGCCGGCGUAUUGAUUUCGGAGCGCAGUACAUCUCGCGCUUUGCACUCAUAACGACGACGUCCAAAAAGUACAUUUUUACACUCUUGACCUCGGAUCAGGUAGGGAUACCCGCUGAACUUAAGCAUAUCAAUAAGCGGAGGA
rnacentral:misc_RNA from 1 species